UUCAUUUGCGUCCGACCUGAAAAUAAGCAGUAUAAAUACAUCUGUAAUUUUUUAUCGAAAAUCUACAGUUUGCUGUUCAACCAAGAUACAAUCAUGCAGCUUUUCGCCGUUUUCAUUUUGGCUAUUGCCUCUGCUUCAGCCUCUGACUACUAUUUCCACACGAACGGAAAUGGUGACAAAUGCACCUGCUUUUACCCUGCAGAUCCUGAAAGGAGGGUAAAUAUUCGUUCAGAGGAAGCAGAUCCAGACAUUGAUAUCGGUAAGCAUGAAAUACCUGAGACUCAAAGGAAACAUCAACGCAAAUCAAGCCUUGCCUACCGUCAAAACAACCCCCGUGUGACUGCUAAAUUCCGUAAACAACAAUUUGCUUACGGUCCUCUUGCCUUGCUGUAACAAUAGACGCGAAUAAAAUCUUAAUUUGAAUUGACUUCCAAUAAUAAUCCAAUAAUGUUAAA